rnacentral:rRNA from 1 species
CCUACGGGAGGCUGCAGUCGAGAAUCAUGCACAAUGGGGGAAACCCUGAUGGGGCGACGCCGCGUGGGGGAAUGAAGGUCUGCGGAUUGUAAACCCCUGUCAUGUGGGAGCAAAUUAAAAAGAUAGUACCACAAGAGGAAGAGACGGCUAACUCUGUGCCAGCAGCCGCGGUAAGACAGAGGUCGCAAGCGUGGUUCGGAACCACUGGGCGUAAAGCGUGCGUAGGCUGUGUCGUAAGGCGGGUGUGAAAGGCGCGGGCUCAACCCGCGGACGGCACAUGAUACUGCGAGACUAGAGUAAUGGAGGGGGAACCGGAAUGCUCGGUGUAGCAGUGAAAUGCGUAGAUAUCGAGCGGAACACUCGUGGCGAAGGCGGGUUCCUGGACAUUAACUGACGCUGAGGCACGAAGGCCGGGGGAGCGAAAAGGAUUAGAUACCCCGGUAGUC